GGAAAAUGUAGAGAGGAGGGAGUGAAAGGAUGCCAGGUCCGCAGGGAGGCGAGUUUUCCUCCAUUUCCGCUCGGCUGCCCGGAGCCCUGUUCUGAGAUCUCGCAAUGAGUCGUCGAGCCACUAGCUUAUGAAGAUAAGCUAGUGUAAACAUUUGAAUAGAUGUGCUGUAUACAUUAUUUUGGGUUCGGUUGUGUCUUUGGGCCCUGGAAGAAGCUGUAUUACCGCUACACGAAGAAGGAGAUCGACGCCGUGAAGAAUAUCAACGCCAUCCUGGAAACCCAUAGAAUCAUAAAGGACGACCAGGAGAGCAUCCUCCAUAUGGUCGAGUUCAUGGCCCAGUAUAAGCCCAGUCAAAGGGUGAAGCCUGGGACAGUGUUACAGAGUGUGAGGACACAUCGUCUGUUCUCUCAGGCUGAGGCCUGCAUUACACAGACUCCCAAAAAAUGGAGGGUAUCGAGGGGGUAUGUAGCCCCACACAUACUCUGUGAUGGCGCUCCCUUCAGCCAUCACAGAGUACCUCAGCGCCAUGGCAACCAUGCUGCUCGCCGUGAGGAGGAAUGACAUCAACAUCAGCAACAGGUUGCAAUAGAUCUUCUACGUCCUUCACCUGAUGGAGAACGCCCUGCCCACAGCAAUAACCAAUCAGAGUGGGAGAGUCCAGGUUCGGGUGACCCACAAACAGCAGAUCCUCAACCACGACAUCCAUAGAGACCACGUACCACCAGACCGCUACUACCAACAUCAUGCCACAGCUGUGUUUUUACAGAAAACAAGUUAGAUAUAGGUUACCAGGAGUUGAAGACGUUGUCUAGUAACAUGAAGCCCUUCUCUGUGGCCUGAGUGCUGCCUAAGGGCAGCGGGGGCUUCGUCAACGUCAAGGUGGUCACCCUGACCCUCAAUGCCUACAUGGCCUCGGCCGACACACACAUCACCCCCAACCACGUCCCAAACACACAUGGCACAGUGACCGUGCCCAACCGCAAUGCAAAAAGGAUGUUUGCGAGGGAUGCCCAGAAGAUCUGGGACAAAAUGGUUGCCUUAGAAGAGACCAGGGAGUAUGCAUACCACAUGAACUAUGAUGGUAAGCUUUUUUCACUCCAUACCAUGUUUUGAAUAUGUCAUUGUCUUCCAGGGUAUCUGAAGCAGUGGCAGAUGCGGAGGCCGACUCUGGACAAGUAUGAUGUCCUCUUUAUAGACGAGGCACAGGACUGCACUCCAGGUACACCACUGUACCACACCUGGACCAAACCUGGGUCUACAUUACACAAACCUGGGUCUACAUUACACCAGAACAGCCUGAAUUCUUCAGGGAAUUUAAACAUUGUUCACUUGGUAUCAAGGGACCUAACGUGUGCAAGGAAAACAAUACCCACACCAUUAUACCACCGCCACCAACCGGUACUGUUGAUACCAGGCACUAUGGGGCCAUGGACACAUGCUGCUUAUGCCAAAUCCGGACUCAGCCAUCAGCAUGACACAACAGGAACCUGGAUUCGUCAGACCAGUUGAUGUUUUUCUACUCCUCAAUUGUCCACUGUUGGUGAUUGUGUGCCCACAAAAGCCAUUUCUUGUUUCUGAGAUACUGGAACCGGCACGCCUGGCACUAACGAUCAUACCAGGCUCAGUCUCUUAGGUCACUCGUUUUGCACAUUCUAACAUUCAAUCGAACAGUAACUGAAUGCCGCAAUAACUGUUUGCCUAUUUUAUGUCGCAAGCCAAGGCCACUCAUCUCACUGUCUGUAGGAGCAAACUAUUUUCAUGAACGGGGUUAAUCAUAAACUGAUUAACAACGUUUGGACAGGAGCUAUAAUCCAAAUUUAAACUGUGUGUCCUUAUUGCUCCAUGUUCAGGUUUGGCUGCACUGCUUUUAAUGGGGAAAGAUUGCUUCUGUGAUUUUUGUUGAUCACGUCACGUUCCCGGGUGGAGUUUUGGCUUGCCUGGUAACAUCACCAGGGGGUAUACAUUAAUAUAAUAACAAAUAGAGUUCCAAGCCUCUCGGCUAAUAACAGCUAGUUUUCAGAUGACAUAUCCCUUCCAUUAGACCCCUCUGCUCGGGGAUUGAUCCACACUGGUAAUUAAUGCAACGCUUUGGUGCCCUUCCCUCCCAACUAGGACAGCAACCUUCUUGCUUCUUUCUUUUAUAUAAGCAGUUCAGCACAUCAGUAUUUAUCCUACUGUUGAACAAAAUCAAGAUAAAUCUUUACCAUCACAAUAGAUAUUGAACGUCUAUAUGUAACUGAUGUGAAAGGGCUAGCAAGUUAGCGGGGUGCGCGCUAAUAGCGUUUCAAUCGGUGAAUAAAUAAUUAUUUGAUAUUCUGACAUUUCACGUUCUUAAAAUAAAGUAGUGAUCCUAACUGAACUAAGACAGGGAAUUUUUACUAUGAUUUAAUGUCAGGAAUUGUGACAAACUGAGUUUAAGUGUAUUUGGCUAAGGUGUAUGUAAACUUCAGACUUCAACUGUAUAAUGGCUACCAUGAUAUCCUGCAGGUUAUGUCGGCAAAUAAUGUUCGGGCAGUUCAGUAAAAAUGUAGGCAUACCUUGAAAUAAAUAAUUACAAUAAUCCGAUUGGUAUUUGACAAUUUAUUUUCUGUAAAACGUGGAGUAUUAUGUUGAUGGAGUUGUUAUAGCAUGCUUGAUAACGUUGGCGAGCUUUUUCCAUCCCCAAACACCAUGCUAU